AGCGAACGCUGGCGGCAGGCUUAACACAUGCAAGUCGAACGCCCCGCAAGGGGAGUGGCAGACGGGUGAGUAACACGUGGGAACGUACCCUUUGGUUCGGAAUAACUUGGGGAAACUCAAGCUAAUACCGGAUAAGCCCUUAUGGGGAAAGGUUUACUGCCGAAGGAACGGCCCGCGUCUGAUUAGCUAGUUGGGGAGGUAAUGGCUCACCAAGGCGACGAUCAGUAGCUGGUCUGAGAGGAUGAUCAGCCACACUGGGACUGAGACACGGCCCAGACUCCUACGGGAGGCAGCAGUGGGGAAUAUUGGACAAUGGGGGCAACCCUGAUCCAGCCAUGCCGCGUGAGUGAUGAAGGCCUUAGGGUUGUAAAGCUCUUUUACCCGGGACGAUAAUGACUGUACCGGGAGAAUAAGCCCCGGCUAACUUCGUGCCAGCCGCCGCCGUAA
rnacentral:rRNA from 1 species